GUAGUUUUAGACGGGGGUUCAACAUGAUCAAUGAGAGGGGGCGGAUCCUCAGGAGCCAAGUGAGAAGGAUCAUCAAGAAUCUUCGUCUUCAUCAGGCGACAGGUGUUGUUUGAAUUCACUGGUGAUGAGGAAAUUGUGACACUGCACCACAGGAGAAAGGCUCGGAUGAUGCUUCGUGUUGGGUGGAGAGGGGCUUAGGAGGGCAUGCAGGACGAGAUGGAAGCUGAUCAGCUGACUGGUCACUUCCUCUGUCUGUCAGAAGUAUUUGGAGCGGGAGAGGCUUUUCACUGUGAGGAAGAAACAGAGAGUUUAGCAUUUCACUCAUUUGACUCUAAGACUGCUUCAUUGACAGCUGACAGAGCAGCAGUGACGUCACCCCCCUGCUCCAGACGCACUGAUUGGUCCAGAAGAAGUUCUGCCUCUGACACAUGACGCUCAUAUCUAUCAUCUCUACCUCACCUCAUCCUGCAGCUCAUCCAGCUCACUGCGGCCACCAGCAAGAACUGCUCAACACACACACAUGGACACACAAAAGAAUGUUGAGCUCUAAGCUAGGAUGAUGUUGAUAAUGAAGACGGUCAAUAAAAGUUGUACC